CGUCAGACGAUCGGCCUGUCCCA
rnacentral:siRNA from 1 species